rnacentral:rRNA from 1 species
UACGGGGGGGGGGCAAGCGUUGUUCGGAAUUACUGGGCGUAAAGGGCUCGUAGGUGGCCAACUAAGUCGGACGUGAAAUCCCUCAGCUUAACUGGGGAACUGCGUCCGAUACUGGAUGGCUUGAGUUUGGGAGAGGGAUGCGGAAUUCCAGGUGUAGCGGUGAAAUGCGUAGAUAUCUGGAGGAACACCGGUGGCGAAGGCGGCAUCCUGGACCAACACUGACACUGAGGAGCGAAAGCCAGGGGAGCAAACGGG